rnacentral:rRNA from 1 species
UACGUAGGGUCCGAGCGUUGUCCGGAAUUAUUGGGCGUAAAGGGCUCGUAGGCGGUUUGUUGCGUCGGGAGUGAAAACUUCGAGCUUAACUCGGAGCUUGCUUUCGAUACGGGCAGACUUGAGGCAUUCAGGGGAGAACGGAAUUUCUGGUGUAGCGGUGAAAUGCGCAGAUAUCAGAAGGAACACCGGUGGCGAAAGCGGCUCACUGGACCAUAACUGACGCUGAUGCACGAAAGCUGGGGGAGCAAACAGG